UUUUAUGAAACGCCCAAAUUCUUGACAUCCUAUAUACAAACAUCUGUGUUAUUCCUUCACGGCACGUGCAGCACAAGUUCACCAAAAAAUGAAGGGUCAUGAACAACGCGUCAAUCACAUGCCAGUGAUUUCAAUUUGAUAAAUAGCAGCUCAAAGAAAUGUGUACCAUAAACAAUGGACAGUAUAUGUUAACUGCAUGAUUACAGGAAUAGGUGACGAGACCUUCGUUAGUCCUAACCCGGACCAGCCGAAAAAAUGAACAUGUUAAGAAAACAAAUUGGGGAAUAAACAAGAGGCCCAAGGGCCACAUCGCUCACCUGAGUCACUUGGCUCAUAUUUAAAGAUUUUCCCUCUAUAUUUGUAUGCAAAACUUUGAUCUCCCCCCUUUGUGACUCCAUCCUCCCCUGUGGGCCAUGAUUUUAACAAACUGAAAUCUGAAAUAUGUCUUGAGAAGAAGAUUUUUAAAAGAUUUUUCCUAUAUAUUUGCAUGUAAAACUUUGAUCCCCUAUUGUGGCCCCAUCCAACCCCCAGGGGCCAUGAUUUGAACAAACUUGAAUCUGCAUUAUGUCAGGAAGCUUUCAUGUAAAUAUCAGCUUUUCUGGCUCAGUGGUUCUUGAGAAGAAGAUAUUUCCUAUAUAUUUGUAUGUAAAACUUUGAUCCCCUAUUGUGGCCCCAUCAUACCACCGGGGGCCAUGAUUUGAACAAAUUUGAAUCUGCAUUAUGUCAGGAAGCUUUCAUGUAAAUCUCAGCUUUUCUGGCUCAGUGGUUCUUGAGAAGAAGAUUUUUAAAGAUUUAUCCUAUAUAUUAGUAUGUAAAACUUUGAUCCCCUAUUGUGGACCCAUCCAACCCCCGGGGGUCAUGAUUUGAAAAAACUUAAAUCUGCACUAUGUCAGGAAGCUUUCAUGAAAAUUCCAGUUUUUCUGGCCCAAUGGUUCUUGAGAAGAAGAUUUUUAAAUGAUCCCACCCUAUUUUUGCAUUUUUGUGAUUAUCUCCCCUUUGAAAGGGACAUGGCCCUUCAUUUGAACAAACUUGAAAGUCCUUCACCCAAGGAUGCUUUGUGGCAAGUUUGGUUGAAAUUGGCCCAGUGAUUCUUGAGAAGAAGAUGAAAAUGUGAAAAGUUUACGACGCCAAUGAUGACAGACAAAUUUUGAUCAGAAAAGCUCACUUGGCUCAGGUGAGCUAAAAAUAUCAGAACGAAAGGGGAUGGAUAAUUAAUCAAAAAGAAUUUGUACUUUCAAGUUUAAAAACUUCCCGUAUCUGCAUACAUACAUGUAUAUUAUAAUCAAUAAUUACCAAUGUUCUCUAUUUACAGAAAUGAGAUGUACCCGAAAGGUACCCAAAACGUAUCUGUAAGGUACCCGAAGCAACUUUUUCCUUGAAAAAUGUACCCAAAAAGUACCCGCAAAAAACAGCCAUUUUUCGACAGUACCCGGAACGUACCCGACUAUUGUAAAAAGUACCCAAAAUGUACUCAGAUUAAAAAUUGAAAAGCUAAUAUGUACAUGAAAUGUACCCAACAGAAAAAUAUAAAUGUUCAAAUGUACCCGAAUUGUACCCAGGGUAUCAAUUAAGGAAGUUAAAAUGUAUUCGAUAUGUACCCACUUUAAAGUUACCAAGUUGAAAUGUACCCAAAAUGUACCCAACAAAAAAUAUUAAUGUUGAAAUGUUUACCAGAAAUGUACCCUGGGUAAAUUAAAAAAUUAAAUUGUACCCGUAAUGUACCAACUUUAAAUGUGACUAUUGAAAAUGUACCCGAAACGUACCCAUUUAAAUAAACCUUGUAAUUUCACAACAGAUACAAAUACAUUAAACAAUUUCACAACUGAUUUUGAAAUAAGAAAGCUUUUAUAGUCAAUUGUACCAGCAUUAUGUACCCAACCUCAAUCUGGCAUGUUUUUUUUUUUAUUGAUGUAUGUAUGUUGUAGACAUUUUUUGUUUAAAAAAAAAAAAAAAAUAUAUAUAUAUAUAUAUGAAAUAGUGCAAAUCCUGUUGAUGUUAAUGAAUUUUAAUUUAUCUAUAAAAAGGUUUUUUUUGUUCUGCCAUUAAGGUAGCUAUAGUAUUAAAGAAAAUCUGAAGGAUUACAUGAAGGGAUCCAUCCCUAAACCUCUAAAUGGAAAGCUAUUUUCCAUUUUUAAAAACAUAACAAUCAAAAAUAAAUAAUUGUAGAGACCUAGUAGUAAGAUAGUCUUUUGAACUUGAUAAUGCUACAUGAUUGUUAGUCUGCAGCAAUUUCAUAAGAAAAAUUAUCUGACAGUCACUGAAUUUAAUUAUAUAUUUGGUAAACAAUCUGUAUAUAUCAUAAUACAUGCAUAUAUAGAUCUAUCUGUAUUUGAUUUUUUAUUUAAUAAUUUAUUUAUUUAUUUUUUUUUUUUUUUUUUUUUUUUUAAUAUUGAUAUACACUGUAUUUCAAAAGAUGUCCCUGCAGAAGGAAAUUAUUGAAGAUCAACAUAUUAUUUUUAUAAACUAGUUAACUUAUUAAUGCUAUUUCAUUUGUAACACCUCAUAGUUUAACCACUCUUAUUAUGUAUAAAGCAGGUCAAACUGAAAUAACUUAAGUAACGUCGGCAUUAUGUUAAAAUCAGCUCGAUCCGCUCCUUUAUUUUUAUGUUGUCGCAAUACGAGGAGCGGAUCGAGGAGCUGGUUUUAAUCAGAUUGGUCCGAAGGAACAGUAAGAGUUAUCAAUUGACAAGUAAAAAUUUAAGUUGAUAGCACAAGUGACCAGUGAUUAGAAAUAUUUAUUUAUUGUCCUGUAAUUUGGUUAUAGGAAGGUCUUUGGUAUCCUUUGAUUAUUUACAAUUUCAUUUCUCUUUCAGAAUAAAAUUCAUGAUAGAUACAGAAUUUAUAUGGUGUGACCACUGACCAGACUGGUUUUAAUAUGCCAUUCUGAGAAUUACACUAUGAAGACCUGGAUCAAUGUUUAUAUAGUUCCAAAAUGAGUUUACUCUGAAUGACACUUCAGUUCAUGCACAUUUUAGAAUGUACGUCAUCAAUGUUCUCCCAAAGGAAAGUGAGCAAAAACUUAUCCAGAGAAUCAACAGCACAUUUUUGUGAAACUUUUUAAAAUGCGCAGGAGAAAUAGGAUUACGAAGAAGAGAAGCUUCGUCAUAAUUUUUAUAGUAUGAAUUAAAUGCAAUUUCUCAUAUAUUAAGAUUCUUCAUUUUUUUAGGACACAUGGUUGGUAAUAUUCAUGAAAACUAGCAGAACUCCAGUACAUUUGAAG